AUUGCUUCUCGGCCUUUUGGCUAAGAUCAAGUAUAGUAUACUUUUAUGUUGCCUGAAAUCUUUUGUAUUAAAAAUUUAUUUUAAAAGUACAUACAAUGAAAUAGAUAAAUGUAAGUAGAAGUUCUGAUGAUUGCUUGCCCAUCCCAAUGGGUUUUGAGAUAUAUCCCAUAUGUGACCACUUUUA